rnacentral:misc_RNA from 1 species
AACGCACCUUGCACCCUUUGGUAUUCCGAAGGGUAUGCCUGUUUGAGUGUCUUGAACAAUCUCAAAUAUUCCCCCCAAAUGUGGUAUAUUUGGUUCCUGAGCAUUGCCAGUUUGAAUGUUACUGGCUUGCUUUAAAUGAAUUAGCUGAGGCCACAUUACUCUCACAAGCGUAAUAAUGUUUCGCUAGUAGUAAUUUGGGGGCUUUUGCUUCUAAAAGAAACCUGUCUACAAUCAGACCUCAAAUCAGGUAGGACUACCCGCUGAACUUAA